rnacentral:rRNA from 1 species
GGGGACCAUCCUCCAAGGCUAAAUACUCCUGACUGACCGAUAGUGAACCAGUACCGUGAGGGAAAGGCGAAAAGAACCCCGGCGAGGGGAGUGAAAAAGAACCUGAAACCGUGUACGUACAAGCAGUGGGAGCACCUUUAUGGUGUGACUGCGUACCUUUUGUAUAAUGGGUCAGCGACUUAUAUUCUGUAGCAAGGUUAACCGUAUAGGGGAGCCGCAGGGAAACCGAGUCUUAACUGGGCGUUAAGUUGCAGGGUAUAGACCCGAAACCCGGUGAUCUAGCCAUGGGCAGGUUGAAGGUUGGGUAACACUAACUGGAGGACCGAACCGACUAAUGUUGAAAAAUUAGCGGAUGACUUGUGGCUGGGGGUGAAAGGCCAAUCAAACCGGGAGAUAGCUGGUUCUCCCCGAAAGCUAUUUAGGUAGCGCCUCGUGAAUUCAUCUUCGGGGGUAGAGCACUGUUUCGGCUAGGGGGUCAUCCCGACUUACCAACCCGAUGCAAACUACGAAUACCGAAGAAUGUUAUCACGGGAGACACACGGCGGGUGCUAACGUCCGUCGUGAAGAGGGAAACAACCCAGACCGCCAGCUAAGGUCCCAAAGUCAUGGUUAAGUGGGAAACGAUGUGGGAAGGCACAGACAGCCAGGAUGUUGGCUUAGAAGCAGCCAUCAUUUAAAGAAAGCGUAAUAGCUCACUGGUCGAGUCGGCCUGCGCGGAAGAUGUAACGGGGCUAAACCAUGCACCGAAGCUGCGGCAGCGACACUAUGUGUUGUUGGGUAGGGGAGCGUUCUGUAAGCCUGCGAAGGUGGCCUGUGAGGGCUGCUGGAGGUAUCAGAAGUGCGAAUGCUGACAUAAGUAACGAUAAAGCGGGUGAAAAGCCCGCUCGCCGGAAGACCAAGGGUUCCUGUCCAACGUUAAUCGGGGCAGGGUGAGUCGACCCCUAAGGCGAGGCCGAAAGGCGUAGUCGAUGGGAAACAGGUUAAUAUUCCUGUACUUGGUGUUACUGCGAAGGGGGGACGGAGAAGGCUAUGUUAGCCGGGCGACGGUUGUCCCGGUUUAAGCAUGUAGGCGGAGGUUCCAGGUAAAUCCGGUACCUUUUAACGCUGAGGUGUGAUGACGAGGCACUACGGUGCUGAAGUAACAAAUGCCCUGCUUCCAGGAAAAGCCUCUAAGCAUCAGGUAACAUUAAAUCGUACCCCAAACCGACACAGGUGGUCAGGUAGAGAAUACCAAGGCGCUUGAGAGAACUCGGGUGAAGGAACUAGGCAAAAUGGUGCCGUAACUUCGGGAGAAGGCACGCUGGUGUGUAGGUGAAGUCCCUGCGGAUGGAGCUGAGACCAGUCGAAGAUACCAGCUGGCUGCAACUGUUUAUUAAAAACACAGCACUGUGCAAACACGAAAGUGGACGUAUACGGUGUGACGCCUGCCCGGUGCCGGAAGGUUAAUUGAUGGGGUUAUCCGUAAGGAGAAGCUCUUGAUCGAAGCCCCGGUAAACGGCGGCCGUAACUAUAACGGUCCUAAGGUAGCGAAAUUCCUUGUCGGGUAAGUUCCGACCUGCACGAAUGGCGUAAUGAUGGCCAGGCUGUCUCCACCCGAGACUCAGUGAAAUUGAACUCGCUGUGAAGAUGCAGUGUACCCGCGGCAAGACGGAAAGACCCCGUGAACCUUUACUAUAGCUUGACACUGAACAUUGAGCCUUGAUGUGUAGGAUAGGUGGGAGGCUUUGAAGCGUGGACGCCAGUCUGCGUGGAGCCAACCUUGAAAUACCACCCUUUAAUGUUUGAUGUUCUAACGUAGGCCCCUUAUCGGGGUUGCGGACAGUGUCUGGUGGGUAGUUUGACUGGGGCGGUCUCCUCCCAAAGAGUAACGGAGGAGCACGAAGGUUAGCUAAUCCUGGUCGGACAUCAGGAGGUUAGUGCAAUGGCAUAAGCUAGCUUGACUGCGAGCGUGACGGCGCGAGCAGGUGCGAAAGCAGGUCAUAGUGAUCCGGUGGUUCUGAAUGGAAGGGCCAUCGCUCAACGGAUAAAAGGUACUCCGGGGAUAACAGGCUGAUACCGCCCAAGAGUUCAUAUCGACGGCGGUGUUUGGCACCUCGAUGUCGGCUCAUCACAUCCUGGGGCUGAAGUAGGUCCCAAGGGUAUGGCUGUUCGCCAUUUAAAGUGGUACGCGAGCUGGGUUUAGAACGUCGUGAGACAGUUCGGUCCCUAUCUGCCGUGGGCGCUGGAGAAUUGAGGGGGGCUGCUCCUAGUACGAGAGGACCGGAGUGGACGCAUCACUGGUGUUCGGGUUGUCAUGCCAAUGGCACUGCCCGGUAGCUAAAUGCGGAAGAGAUAAGUGCUGAAAGCAUCUAAGCACGAAACUUGCCCCG